rnacentral:rRNA from 1 species
UACGUAGGGGGCAAGUGUUGUCCGGAUUUAUUGGGCGUAAAGAGCGUGUAGGCGGCCAAGCAGGUCCGCUGUGAAAACUCGAGGCUCAACCUCGAGACGUCGGUGGAAACCGUUUGGCUAGAGUCCGGAAGAGGAGAGUGGAAUUCCCGGUGUAGCGGUGAAAUGCGCAGAUAUCGGGAAGAACACCCGUGGCGAAGGCGGCUCUCUGGGACGGUACUGACGCUGAGACGCGAAAGCUAGGGGAGCAAACGGG